rnacentral:rRNA from 1 species
CCUACGGGGGGCAGCAGUGGGGAAUAUUGCACAAUGGGGGAAACCCUGAUGCAGCGACGCCGCGUGAAGGAAGAAGUAUUUCGGUAUGUAAACUUCUAUCAGCAGGGAAGAAAAUGAUGGUACCUGACUAAUAAGCCCCGGCUAACUACGUGCCAGCAGCCGCGGUAAUACGUCGGGGGCAAGCGUUAUCCGGAUUUACUGGGUGUAAAGGGAGCGUAGGCGGCGAGGCAAGUACGAAGUGAAAGCCCGGGGCUCAACUCCGGGACUGCUUUUGAAACUGGGUGGCUAGAUUGCAGGAGAGGGAAGUGGAAUUCCUGGUGUAGCGGUGAAAUGCGUAGAGAGUAGGAGGAACACCAGUGGCGAAGGCGGCUUACUGGACUGUAAAUGACGCUGAGGCUCGAAAGCGUGGGGAGCAAACAGGAUUAGAUACCCCAGUAGUC